CGGGCCUGCCAUCAUUCACUUUGAAGUGGACUUUGUGUUUACAGACAGUAGCAACAGCGAGACUUUAGAUCAUUAGAACGCAUUCGCCAAAAGGCACCUGAAUGGAUUUCUGCAAAUAUGGAAAUACCACGCUAUGUCCAGGGGAUGAGUGACCUCUCGGCUCCUCUCCUGUUCAUCACCCAGACCGAGGUGGAGUCCUCCUGGUGUCUGACAGGCUUUAUGGAGAUGGUGCACCAGAACUUUGAGGAGUCUCAGGAGGCCAUGAAGUAGCAGCUUCUCCAGCUCAGCCUGCUGCUGAAGGCUGUGGACCCUGAGCUCCUUGACUACCUGGUUAAACAAUGACUAUCAUUCAGUCUAAGUUUGGGCGAUGUCAACCUUUAUCCUAUCGUGAUUAUGUACCCAUAAAACAUUGUGCUAUACGAUGCUAUCGCCCCUCAUGAUUUGCCUCAUAAAAUAAUUGAAAAAUAAAUAAUAUUGUUUUGCUCA